rnacentral:ncRNA from 20 species
CCUCCACCCUCCCCGCACAGGAGGGUGGACCGGGGACCCGGCACUCUCUGCCCUGACUGUUCCGGCUCCCCCAGACCGGCCCACGGGACCGCACACCCGACGGCCGGUGGUUGCUCCGGGCUGCGGUGCCGGGCGGGUUGAGGGUCCCACCCAGGCGC